rnacentral:misc_RNA from 1 species
UCAAGGAUGAGCAAGCCAUGAGGGGACGCGCAUUUUGUUGAAUCUCCGUUUCGAAAUUCAAUCGGAAACCCUAAAUCUCUGUGCAGCAGAAUCAACGAGGACGAAGAAGAAGGUUCUAGAAAUAUGAGGAGAGUUUUCGGUGCGAAGAAACAAACGGAACCUCCUCCUUCCAUUCAAGACGCAUCCGAUCGGAUUAAUAAAAGAGGUGACACCGUGGAGGAGAAAAUCAAGAAGCUUGAUGUUGAACUUGCAAGAUACAAGGAACAGCUAAAGAAGACCCGGCCAGGUCCAGCUCAAGAUGCUGUAAAAGCUCGAGCAAUGAGAGUUUUGAAGCAAAAAAGAAUGUAUGAAGGCCAACGUGACAUGCUCUUCAAUCAGACGUACAACCUAGAUCAAGUUUCAUUUGCAGCUGAGGGAAUUAAAGAUGCUCAGCAAACAAUGUCAGCUUUGAAGUCUGCAAACAAAGACUUGAAAGGAAUGAUGAAGACAGUGAAGAUUCAAGAUAUAGAUAACCUACAAGAUGAAAUGAUGGACUUGAUGGAUGUGAGCAAUGAAAUUCAAGAGUCUCUUGGUAGAAGCUACAGUGUGCCAGAUGACAUUGAUGAAGAUGAACUCCUCGGUGAGCUUGAUGCUCUGGAGGCCGACAUGGAUACUGAAGGCGAAGGAGUCCCUUCGUAUCUUCAACCAGACAAGGAGCCCGAUUUGGAUGCAGAGCUUAGCCUACCAUCAGCACCAACAGGGCAUGGACCAAUGCCAGCUGGUAACCAGGCUUAUGAUGAACUAGGAUUACCUGCUGUUCCUCGCGCAUCAAUUCGCGGUUAAGGGAUUAGUGGGAUACUAAUGAUGACUUCAUUUGGGAUUAUUCUUUUGUUUAUUGGGGAAACCUGGUGUAAACAUUAGUGUGCAGAGUAUAUCUUCAUCGUUGUUUCCAAAUGACCAUGUUGAUUUUUUGUGUAAUAAUGGACAUGAUGCUUGAAUUGUUUUGUGCACAUUCUCUACAUCU